GCCUGCCCAGUGAUACACCAUUCAACGGCCGCGGUAUCCUAACCGUGCAAAGGUAGCGCAAUCACUUGUUCUUUAAAUAAGGACUAGUAUGAACGGCACCAUGAGGAUCGCCUUGUCUCUCAUAGUAAGUCCAUGAAACUGAUCCCCCAGUACAAAAGCUGGAAUACCCCCACAAGACGAGAAGACCCUGUGGAGCUUUAAACUACACACCACACAUAUUGGUACUAGUAGUUUUUAGUUGGGGCGACUUUGGAGCAAAACAAAACCUCCAAAAUUUAACCCAAACCCAGACGGACACGUCUGAGCCAAUCGACCACCGACCCAAUACAAUUGAUCAAUGAACCAAGUUACCCCAGGGAUAACAGCGCAAUCUUCUUCUAGAGUCCCUAUCGACAAGAAGGUUUACGACCUCGAUGUUGGAUCCGGAUACCCCAAUAGUGCAGCCGCUAUUAAUGGUUCGUUUGUUCAACGAUUAAUAAUCCCACGUGAUCUGAGUUCAGACCGG
rnacentral:rRNA from 1 species